GGAAUCUUGCGCAAUGGGCGAAAGCCUGACGCAGCAACGCCGCGUGCGGGAAGAAGGCUUUCGGGCUGUAAACCGCUUUCAGUAGGAACGAAACUGACGGUACCUACAGAAGAAGGAGCGGCCAACUAUGUGCCAGCAGCCGCGGUGACACAUAGGCUCCAAGCGUUGUCCGGAUUUAUUGGGCGUAAAGAGCUCGUAGGCGGUUGAGUAAGUCGGGUGUGAAAACUUUGGGCUUAACCCAAAGAUGCCACUCGAUACUGUUCAACUUGAGUUUGGUAGGGGAGUGGGGAAUUCCUUGUGUAGCGGUGAAAUGCGCAGAUAUAAGGAGGAACACCGGUGGCGAAGGCGCCACUCUGGGCCAAUACUGACGCUGAGGAGCGAAAGCGUGGGGAGCAAACAGGAUUAGAUACCCUGGUAGUCCACGCGGUAAACGGUGUCACUAGGUGUGGGUCUCUAACCAAUGAGAUCCGCGCCGUCGCUAACGCAUUAAGUGACCCGCCUGGGGAGUACGGUCGCAAGACUAAAACUCAAAGGAAUUGACGG
rnacentral:rRNA from 1 species